UGCAGCGACUCCCGGGGAGGCGCGCGGCUCAUAACCGCGCCGUUGACGGUUCGACUCCGUCCGCUGCGACCA
rnacentral:tRNA from 1 species